UACGAAGGGGGCUAGCGUUGUUCGGAAUUACUGGGCGUAAAGGGCGCGUAGGCGGCUUGUACAGUCAGACGUGAAAUUCCUGGGCUCAACCUGGGGGCUGCGUUUGAUACGUAUGGGCUUGAGUUCGGAAGAGGGUCGUGGAAUUCCCAGUGUAGAGGUGAAAUUCGUAGAUAUUGGGAAGAACACCGGUGGCGAAGGCGGCGACCUGGUCCGAUACUGACGCUGAGGCGCGAAAGCGUGGGGAGCAAACAGG
rnacentral:rRNA from 1 species